rnacentral:rRNA from 1 species
AUACGGAGGGUGUAAGCGUUGUUCGGAAUUAUUUGGGCGUAAAGCGCGUGUAGGCGGUUUCUUAAGUCUGAUGUGAAAGCCCCGGGCUCAACCUGGGAAGUGCAUUGGAAACUGGGGGACUUGAGUACGGGAGAGGGUAGUGGAAUUCCUAGUGUAGGAGUGAAAUCCGUAGAUAUUAGGAGGAACACCGGUGGCGAAGGCGGCUACCUGGACCGAUACUGACGCUGAGACGACGAAAGCGUGGGGAGC